CGGGGGAGGCCGGAUCCUGGGCUGUGUCCCGGCGCCCUGUGCUCCGGAGCCUGCUCUGUUUGUUCGAUUUGCGCUCCCGCCCCCGCAGCCCCCU
rnacentral:pre_miRNA from 1 species